UCCAGGAAACCAUCAGGAAAAAAUUUGCCAAAUGUACAGUAUUGACAAUAGCUCACAGGUUGCACACCAUCAUGGAUUCGGAUAAGGUGCUAGUGAUGGACGCAGGACGGAAAGCAGAGUUUGACCAUCCCCAUCUUCUGCUGCAAAACGAAGCAGGUGUAUUUCAUUCGUUGGUGAUGCAAACUGGGAAAGCUACCGCCAAAAAUUUGAUGACCAUAGCGGAAGAAACUUACGAAGCAACACACAGUCAGUGUAGUCGAGAGUAGCUGAAGAAAAAUUGUGGUCAAGAUGGGAAGAGGUGUCUUACUGAUUGUGGAAAAAAUUUGUGUAAGUUUUGUUUCAGUUCGUCCGCUUUGUCCAAUAGAGGUUACAUCAUAUUUUCAGCAGGAAGUCAACUGUCGAAGAUGAGUCAUAAAAAUUAAAAUAGAAAUAAUCUAUAUCAUAUAAGCUACCAUUCUGUACAUACUUGUUCAAUAGACAACUACACAGUGUAAA